rnacentral:rRNA from 1 species
AGUGAACGCUGGCGGUAGGCCUAACACAUGCAAGUCGAACGGCAGCACAGUAAGAGCUUGCUCUUACGGGUGGCGAGUGGCGGACGGGUGAGGAAUACAUCGGAAUCUACUUUUUCGGGGGGGAUAACGGAGGGAAACUUACGAUAAUACCGCAUACGACCUACGGGUGAAAGCAGGGGAUCUUCGGACCUUGCGCGAUUGAAUGAGCCGAUGUCGGAUUAGCUAGUUGGCGGGGUAAAGGCCCACCAAGGCGACGAUCCGUAGCUGGUCUGAGAGGAUGAUCGGCCACACUGGAACUGAGACACGGUCCAGACUCCUACGGGAGGCAGCAGUAGGGAAUAUUGGGCAAUGGGCGCAAGCCUGAUCCAGCCAUGCCGCGUGAGUGAAGAAGGCCUUCGGGUUGUAAAGCCCUUUUGUUGGGAAAGAAAAGCAGCAUGUUAAUACCCCGCUGUUCUGACGGUACCCAAAGAAUAAGCACCGGCUAACUUCGUG